rnacentral:rRNA from 1 species
GACGAACGCUGGCGGCGUGCUUAACACAUGCAAGUCGAACGGAAAGGCCCUGCUUUUGUGGGGUGCUCGAGUGGCGAACGGGUGAGUAACACGUGAGUAACCUGCCCUUGACUUUGGGAUAACUUCAGGAAACUGGGGCUAAUACCGGAUAGGAGCUCCUGCUGCAUGGUGGGGGUUGGAAAGUUUCGGCGGUGGGGAUGGAGUCGCGGCUUAUCAGCUUGUUGGUGGGGGAGUGGCUUACCAAGGCUUUGCCGGGUAGCCGGCCUGAGAGGGUGACCGGCCACAUUGGGACUGAGAUACGGCCCAGACUCCUACGGGAGGCAGCAGUGGGGAAUAUUGCACAAUGGGCGGAAGCCUGAUGCAGCAACGCCGCGUGCGGGAUGACGGCCUUCGGGUUGUAAACCGCUUUCGCCUGUGACGAAGCGUGAGUGACGGUAAUGGGUAAAGAAGCACCGGCUAACUACGUG